rnacentral:rRNA from 1 species
AUUGAACGCUGGCGGCAUGCCUUACACAUGCAAGUCGAACGACAGCACGGGGCAACCUGGUGGCGAGUGGCGAACGGGUGAGUAAUGCAUCGGAACGUACCUUUCAGUGGGGGAUAACGUAGCGAAAGUUACGCUAAUACCGCAUAUUCUGUGAGCAGGAAAGCAGGGGAUCGCAAGACCUUGCGCUGAUUGAGCGGCCGAUGUCAGAUUAGCUAGUUGGUGAGGUAAAGGCUCACCAAGGCGACGAUCUGUAGCGGGUCUGAGAGGAUGAUCCGCCACAAUGGAACUGAGACACGGUCCAGAAUCCUACGGGAGGCAGCAGUGGGGAAUUUUAGACAAUGGGGGCAACCCUGAUCCAGCCAUGCCGCGUGAGUGAAGAAGGCCUUCGGGUUGUAAAGCUCUUUCGGCCGGGAAGAAAUCGUAUCAGCUAAUACCUGGUGCGGAUGACGGUACCGGCAUAAGAAGCACCGGCUAACUACGUGCCAGCAGCCGCAGUAAAAC